UACGGAGGGGGCGAGCGUUAUUCGGAAUUAUUGGGCGUAAAGGGCGCGUAGGCGGCUGUACAAGUCAAAGGUGAAAUCCCUCGGCUCAACUGAGGAACUGCCUUUGAAACUGUACGGCUUGAGGCCGGGAGGGGGUAGCGGAAUUCCCAGUGUAGCGGUGAAAUGCGUAGAUAUUGGGAGGAACACCGGUGGCGAAGGCGGCGACCUGGGUCGAGACUGACGCUGAGGCGCGAAAGCGUGGGGAGCAAACAGG
rnacentral:rRNA from 1 species